ensembl:lncRNA
CACCAAGCCUGUCUUCUGCAGGACAAAGCUGGGGGAAAAGCUUCACCAGCCUUCUCCUCAUUUUGAUCUGGGAGAUCCGUACUGUCGCCAUCUGCGCACAGAAUACAACAGCCUGCAUGACCCACAUCUGCAGGACUACCACAACCGCAAAGACAACCUGCAGAACCUGAAGAAAAGGGGCUUAGUCACCAAGGAUGGCAAAGUGGUCUGCACGCUGAAAGAGUUCAAUGAGUACAGGCAGUACCUGACCAGGCUGAAGCUGGAGCGCGAGCAAACAAAGAGGCGAGAAGAGGAAAAUCUUGGUCAGAUAUCCAGUUUGAAGAAAUACGCCCACACCCUGACGAUGAACGUGGACAAAUCUUCCCUGUGCUCAGCCACUACUGUGGACUCUUCAGCCACUACUUGGACUUGGAAAGCCAGUCCACUGCAGCCUCACAAACCAGCUGGCCCUCCUCCACGCAGUAUUCAUCAGUCUGGUCAACGUAGAAGGCUGAAAAUGUCUUUGGUUCAGCAAGACCUUCCGGGAGAUUCCAAGAGCAGAGGACGUACAAUGAAGUUGCCUGUCAAGUUGCCUAAACUUGAGACAAGCAGCAAAGGUGCCAAGCUCCCUGGAAAUAUUCAUACUGAAACUGCCUCAGGAAGACAGCCACAAUUCCCUGGAGGUCGUGAGGUGCCAGAUCCAUCUGCUGGUGCCUUAAGGAGGGCCUCCCUCAGAAUCAGACAAAGAUUGCCAGGAAGUACAGAUAGAGCAGAGUCUUCGGAGAUGUCUCCUUCCAACCCUGACCAUGACAUUGGACUGCUGGCAAGGAAGCUCGUAGCGAGUGUGCUGAAGAAUGUUGGGAAACCCUUGAAAUCUAGCAGAAGGGAAGCCUCUGACAAAGCAUCCUCGCAGGCUUCCCUUCACAAAGCCACCCGAGAAGCUGCUGGAAGUGUCUUGCAAUCCUUUGUAGCUUCUCACUCUGAGCAAGAGUUUGGUGCUGAAUAUUCUGAAACCAUGGAGCUUCCCACCAACCAUCUCCCUCUGCAGCCAUCCCAGGUGCCUCUGUCAUGGCAGAGCUGGAAGGAAGGACGAGGCUCAUCAGAAGAGCAGAGCCCAGCAGCAAGCAAGAGAGAAAAGUUGCCCACGAUCCAACCAAUACGAAGCGCUGCUGAGGUCUCUCGCCUGAGUCGCAGCACUUUAAAGUUGAGCACUGAAAAUGCCAUCUCCAAAGUGAAAGAGGAGGAGCAAGAAGAAUUGCUUCUUAGGCGUGCCAAAACCAUUGUCACUGAUGCAGUUUUAAGAGCAAAGAAAAAUGUAGAGAAUGAGCUGCAAGCAAAGGCCUUAAGUGCAGCGUUGGAUGCCAACACCAUGGCAUCUGGGACGGUGGGCUCUGUAUCAGCGCAGAGCUCGAAGGCUCAGGCUGCACGUGGGCGACAACUGAGCUCCAGGAGGCCUGUUGUCAAAGAGCCC